rnacentral:rRNA from 1 species
AGUGAACGCUGGCGGUAGGCCUAACACAUGCAAGUCGAACGGCAGCACAGUAAGAGCUUGCUCUUACGGGUGGCGAGUGGCGGACGGGUGGGGAAUACAUCGGAAUCUACUUUUUCGUGGGGGAUAACGUAGGGAAACUUACGCUAAUACCGCAUACGACCUACGGGUGAAAGCAGGGGAUCUUCGGACCUUGCGCGAUUGAAUGAGCCGAUGUCGGAUUAGCUAGUUGGCGGGGUAAAGGCCCACCAAGGCGACGAUCCGUAGCUGGUCUGAGAGGAUGGUCAGCCACACUGGAACUGAGACACGGUCCAGACUCCUACGGGAGGCAGCAGUGGGGAAUAUUGGACAAUGGGCGGAAGCCUGAUCCAGCCAUACCGCGUGGGUGAAGAAGGCCUUCGGGUUGUAAAGCCCUUUUGUUGGGAAAGAAAAGCAGCAGGUUAAUACCCCGCUGUUCUGACGGUACCCAAAGAAUAAGCACCGGCUAACUUCGUG